CCUACGGGUGGCAGCAGUGAGGAAUAUUGGUCAAUGGUCGCGAGCCUGAACCAGCCAAGCCGCGUGAGGGAAGACGGUCCUAUGGAUUGUAAACCUCUUUUGUCGGGGAGCAAAAGAGGCCACGCGUGGCGUUCCGAGAGUACCCGAAGAAAAAGCAUCGGCUAACUCCGUGCCAGCAGCCGCGGUAAUACGGAGGAUGCGAGCGUUAUCCGGAUUUAUUGGGUUUAAAGGGUGCGCAGGCGGAAGAGCAAGUCAGCGGUAAAAAUGAGACGCUCAACCUCUUAUAGCCGUUGAAACUGGUUGUCUUGAGUGAGUGAGAAGUAUGCGGAAUGCGUGGUGUAGCGGUGAAAUGCAUAGAUAUCACGCAGAACUCCGAUUGCGAAGGCAGCAUACCGGCGCUCAACUGACGCUCAUGCACGAAAGUGUGGGGAUCGAACAGGAUUAGAUACCCUAGUAGUC
rnacentral:rRNA from 1 species